AUCAAUCGUUGCUCUGUAAGUAGGUGUGGUACUGUUAAGAUAAGCUCUCCAUACCGUACUCCUACUCAAUACGUCCUCGGCGUACAGAGCGGUAACAUGUCUCUCCAAAU
rnacentral:ribozyme from 1 species